rnacentral:rRNA from 1 species
UCCAGACUCCUACGGGAGGCAGCAGUGGGGGAUAUUGCACAAUGGGGGCAACCCUGAUGCAGCGACGCCGCGUGAGCGAUGGAGUACUUCGGUAUGUAAAGCUCUGUCAGCAGGGAAGAGAAUGACGGUACCUGACCAAGAAGCCCCGGCUAAAUACGUGCCAGCAGCCGCGGUAAUACGGAGGAUGCGAGCGUUAUCCGGAUUUAUUGGGUUUAAAGGGUGCGUAGGCGGAAUGCCAAGUCAGCGGUAAAAUCGCGGGGCUCAACCUCGCUCCGCCGUUGAAACUGCAUCCCUUGAGUGCGCGAGAAGUAUGCGGAAUGCGUGGUGUAGCGGUGAAAUGCAUAGAUAUCACGCAGAACUCCGAUUGCGAAGGCAGCAUACCGGCGCGCAACUGACGCUCAUGCACGAAAGCGUGGGUAUCGAACAGGAUUAGAUACCCGCGUAA